rnacentral:rRNA from 1 species
CCUACGGGUGGCAGCAGUAGGGAAUUUUCGUCAAUGGGCGCAAGCCUGAACGAGCAAUGCCGCGUGAACGAGGAAGGUCUUCGGAUCGUAAAGUUCUGUUGAAGGGGAAAAAGAGCGGAGAGAGGAAAUGAACUCCGAUUGAUAUUACCCUUCGAGGAAGUCACGGCUAACUACGUGCCAGCAGCCGCGGUAAUACGUAGGUGGCGAGUGUUAACCGGAAUGCGUGGGCGUAAAGGGUGCGUAGGCGGCCUGCUAAGGCGGGAGUGAAAGGUAACGGCUAAACCGGUACAGGCUCUGGAAACUGGCGGGCUAGAGAGCAGGAGAGGGCGGUGGAACUCCAUGUGUAGCGGUAAAAUGCGUAGAUAUAUGGAAGAACACCAGUGGCGAAGGCGGCCGCCUGGCCUGUUGACUGACGCUGAGGCACGAAAGCGUGGGGAGCAACUAGGAUUAGAUACCCCAGUAGUC